rnacentral:lncRNA from 1 species
GGAGUGCUCGAACGGAGAAUUUAGCAGAGUUUUGAGAUAAGGAGAAUGAGCUUAAAGAAUAACGUAUCUGGGUCCCCCUUUUAUAAGCGGAGGAGGCAACGGAUUGAUGGCGACGUUUGUAACCACUUGGUAGUGGGCCGCCCAUGAUCAGGGGAAUUGAUUGCGAAAGAUAGUGGGGUAGACCCGUGGCUAUCGUCAUAGCCCGCCACGUAGGGCCUGUUGCAGGUAGUGGAGCGGCGUCCGUUGCCGCUAGUUGUCAGCGAGUAGUGGGAUCAUGCAGCACCUGCCGCAGGGAGCGGAGCAGAAUCGCGGCCGUU